ACAAACCAUCCUCAGAUUUGGUGGCUUAAAACAACCCCCUAUUUUUUAGCUCGCAAUAAUGAGUCGGUUGUGCCAUGCCUGGGGUUGAACUCAGCUGGGCUCCCCGUAAAUCCGCCGUCACCUGGCUCUAGCUGGCAGAUUGGCUAACAGUUGGGUGAACUGGGAUCCAGUCAUUCCCAAGUCUGGCAUUUGGCAGGCUGUCAGCUGUGGCAACGGUGGGGGGCCUGCAAGCUCCGGUUUCUUCACACAGGGGUGCAGGAAUUUAAAAGCAGCAACAGCUGAAGCUUCAAGGCAUCUUCAAGCCUAGGUGCAGGACCGAAGUUCAAAAGGUCACCUCUGCCAUGGAGACAUUCAGAUUCCUCUCGGUACCACUUACUGGCAGAGCCUAAUAAGGAGCAGCUGGAAAAGAAAUACAGUUUGCAGAGCUCCAGCCCCAACAUCACAGAGAAGAGUGUAAAAGGCUGAGUUCAUAGCGGAGAAACACCUAUUUCCUCUGGCCACUCAGUCUAACAAUAUAUCCAUGUGAACAUAAUGAGAAAAGCUGGUGCUCUUUCCAAGUCCCAGAAGUAUCAGCUACUGUGCUUCGAAGUCUCAGUCUAUCUAGAAACAAAGAGCUGCUGUGUGGACAAAAAGAAGGGAACAUCUUACAUGCAUCCUGAUGUCUGCAUGACAAAGAAGAAGCAGAGAAAGAGACAUGUGAGGAAAUGUAGCCUUAGGCAGGCCCGUUUCAUAUGAAAUUAAAUGAUAACCCAUGCCUUGGAGGACAUGAGAAUUCACUGAAAAAAUAGUAUUAAGAAAUAGAGGAAAGAAGAAAGUGCCUGGAGAGAAGGCCCUCCUGGGUAUUCAUGCCAUUAUCAACAGACAAAACCAAUCAGCUAUUAAUAGCAUUUAUAUUUUCACAAUGAUGAAGUUCUAGAACCUAAGUCAGGUUCGGUGGGGUGAGGUUCGGAGCCGACGGCUAAAGAAAGA